UACUAGAGUAGCACUCGCAUAUCAAUAAGCGGAGGAAAAGAAACUAACAAGGAUUCCCCUAGUAACGGCGAGUGAAGCGGGAAGAGCUCAAAUUUGAAAUCUUAAAGGGUUUCCCUUUACGAAUUGUAGUUUAAAGAAGUGUUUUCUGUUGAGGUUUUGGUAAAAGUUCUUUGGAAUAGGACAUCAUAGAGGGUGAGAAUCCCGUAUUUGACCUUUACUUUCAACUUUGUGAUACACUUUCAAAGAGUCGGAUUGUUUGGGAAUGCAGUCCAAAAUGGGUGGUAAAUUUCAUCUAAAGCUAAAUAUUGGCGAGAGACCGAUAGCGAACAAGUAUCGUGAGGGAAAGAUGAAAAGAACUUUGAAAAGAGAGUUAAACAGUACGUGAAAUUGUCAAAAGGGAAGCGUUUGACACCAGUGUUGUUUUUCUGAAAAUCAAUUAAAGAACUGUUUAUGCUAAGCUGUUUAGACUUUAUCAGCUAUCUGCUUAGUUUUGAGCUUUUCUUUAAUGCACUUUUCAGUUAACAAGUCAACAUCAAUUUCUUUUGCUGUAAAAAAGCUUGAGGAAGGUGGCUUGAGAUUCGUCUUAAGUGUUUAUAGCCUCUUGCCUAUGCAGUCGGAGAGAUUGAGGUCUGCAGCGUAGAUCCUUCGGGGCUAAAUGCAUUUGUGCUAAGUUAUAGCAUUUUAUAGACAACUUGUUGACUAUGAUUUGUCUUGUAGCUUACUCGCUUAUGUUAUUUUACCUACGCUUAGGAUGUUGAGUAGCGACAUACGCAC
rnacentral:rRNA from 1 species